CCUACGGGAGGCAGCAGUGGGGAAUUUUGGACAAUGGGCGCAAGCCUGAUCCAGCCAUGCCGCGUGAGUGAAGAAGGCCUUCGGGUUGUAAAGCUCUUUCGGCGGGGAAGAAAAGGUACGUGCUAAUACCACGGACUAAUGACGGUACCCGAAGAAGAAGCACCGGCUAACUACGUGCCAGCAGCCGCGGUAAUACGUAGGGUGCAGGCGUUAAUCGGAAUUACUGGGCGUAAAGCGUGCGCAGGCGGUUUGUUAAGACAGAUGUGAAAUCCCCGGGCUUAACCUGGGAACUGCGUUUGUUACUGGCAAGCUAGAGUGUGGCAGAGGGGGGUAGAAUUCCAGGUGUAGCAGUGAAAUGCGUAGAUAUCUGGAGGAAUACCGAUGGCGAAGGCAGCCCCCUGGGCUAACACUGACGCUCAUGCACGAAAGCGUGGGGAGCAAACAGGAUUAGAUACCCUGGUAGUCCACGCCCUAAACUAUGUCAACUGGUUGUCGGGGAAGCAAUUCCUUGGUAACGAAGCUAACGCGUGAAGUUGACCGCCUGGGGAUACGGCCGCAAGGUUAAAACUCAAAGGAAUUGACGGCUGAGACGNGCGAGACGACGACGAGGAGAG
rnacentral:rRNA from 1 species